CCGAGUGAGGGCCUUCGGGCUCGACCUCCAACCCUUUGUGAACACAUCUUGUUGCUUCGGGGGCGACCCUGCCGUUCCGACGGCGAGCGCCCCCGGAGGCCUUCAAGCACUGCAUCUUUGCGUCGGAGUUUAAGUAAAUUUAAACA
rnacentral:misc_RNA from 1 species